rnacentral:misc_RNA from 1 species
GUGAAUCAUCGAAUCUUUGAACGCACAUUGCGCCCGCCAGUAUUCUGGCGGGCAUGCCUGUCCGAGCGUCAUUUCAACCCUCGAACCCCUCCGGGGGGUCGGCGUUGGGGAUCGGCCCUUUACGGGGCCGGCCCCGAAAUACAGUGGCGGUCUCGCCGCAGCCUCUCCUGCGCAGUAGUUUGCACACUCGCAUCGGGAGCGCGGCGCGUCCAUUGCCGUAAAACACCCAACUUUCUGAAAUGUUGACCUCGGAUCAGGUAGGAAUACCCGCUGAACUUAAGCAUAUCAAUAAGCGGAGGA